rnacentral:lncRNA from 1 species
GGCCUGCUUUUGCCACCCUGGCGCCCCGAACUCUGUGCCGCCGCACCCUUCACCCAGUCUUGGGACGGCUGGCGCUAAGAAUUCAUGCUAUGACCUUCGAUUCAGCCAGGAGGUGACACCAAGCUCGAUCAGAAACUAUGCCACUGGUGAAGAGGUAUAUUGAGCCCUGCGUGGCCCAGUGAGGUUACUAGAGAAUUGGAAGAGUCUCAAAUCAGCAUCCUGCACAUGGUUAUCAAACCAUUGUGAAGUCUUAGUAAGUGGUCAGUGGCUCUGGUGGGCUUGCCCAGUUAGUGUCUUAACAGGCACUAGGCAGUUACUUGAUAUUUUCCCAUUAUGAUAUGAAAAGUUUUUUGUUUUUUGUUUUUUUAGGGCUGUACCCGUGGCAUAUGGAGGUUCCCAGGCUAGGGUUCAAAUUGGAGCUGUAGCUAUAUGCAGGCCUACACCACCCACAGCUAUAGCAACUUGGGAUCCGAGCUGCGUCUGCAACCUACGCCACAGCUCACGAGAGUGCUGGAUCCUUAACCCACUGAGUGAGGCCAGGGAUUGAACCUGUGUCCUCAUGGAUACUAGUUGUGUUCUUAACCCACUGAGCCACAAUGGGAACUCCAAAAAACAGUCUUUAUUUCAGACUAGAGAGUGAUGAGCCUAAUCUCUCUCUUUCCCCGUCUCCCAUUUUUGCAGAUGAUAUCUUGCCCACCAUAAUAGUUGGUGUAGAAAAUGGAUUUGAAUCCAAGCCCAAUAUUGUUUCUUCCACCUAGUGCUUCCUCUAGAUUCCACCUAAGUCCAAGGAGGCGAUGUGAGACAGAAACAUUUUUAUUCCACAUGGAAAGAUUAUAAUAGCCUCUGACAUUGUGCUCCUCUGAUGAAGGAAAUGUCCAUGGUAUAAAUUUUUAUUGUGCAUAAAAUCACCUGGGAAGCUUGUUAAAAAUGCAGAUUCCUAGGCAGCUAGAAGCCUUGUCAUUGGUCCAGAGCAACAUGAAGACCUACUUGUCACUUACACUGAGGCUUCCUGCCCAGUGGGUUCACCAGCAAGCCAGAAGGAAGCAUCACUGCCAUGGAUGUCCUUGUGAGGCAGUUGUGAAGCCUUGGAGAGCUUUAGAAACAACUUGUCAAGUUUUCACCACAAAUACCAUUGGAGUUACAAUUGGAGUCUCACUGAAUUAUAGAGUAAUUUUUGGAGAGCUAUCAUCUUUAUAAUCUUCUCAUACAUGAAUGUGUCUUGGCUACUUGUAGAUGUUGCAUUGCUGCUGCCGCUGCUGCUGUUACUACAACUACAAUUGCUGCCAGUUGCUCCUUGCGUAGGACCAGAGUGAUCAUUCAUCAGAAACCUCAUCUUCACAGUCUGGGGUUUGUUCCUGUGGCUGGUAUUCACAGUUUUCCCCUUCCAACUUUACCUCAGCUAUCCCCUUACCUACAUUAACAGGAGUUGCUGGUAGAAGACUUCAUGAAGGAGAGAAGAAAAGGAAAAAAUCAGAGGAUGACUACAGCCUCCUUCAUCUCAGCUUUUCAAAGCAUUACUCAACAGAGGGAUCACUCUCUUGAAUACUCUCCAGACCACAGGCCAUCAGUCUAUUACAGGCUCUAACUGGGAGGAGCCUUAUUGUGAAUGAAGCUUCGGUGGGUGCUAGGAGUAACACCGUGUUUCUCUGGAUAUGAGAAGAAUGGAGGGCAGAGAGCAAGGGAAGGAAGCUAUGAAAUAUUGGAGUAACAAAUGCUUGACGUUUUAGUGGGUAUUGGACCUAGAAGCCUAUAUGAUUGAAGGAAGCAAACCUGGAGAGGUCUGAUGUUUGUGAGUGAAGAUAGGAGUGAACUCCUUAUUGCAAUUAAAAAUGGAGUGAGGGGGAGGAAAAAAAUGACAGAAAUCAUAAGAUCCAUUACUUCAGUGAAGGAAGCACUGAGACUUGCUUCAUAAACCUGUAAUUUUUAAAGGUAGAUUGAAGAUAAGUUGUUGUGCUGCACUAUUUCUAUUCCUACCCGUGAGAGUUACUGCCAGCCACUCUUCUCAGGUAGAUCUGCCUUUAUGGAAAUUUCUGUUGACCCACGUAAAGAAACAACCCAGAAAAACAUUUGCAACAUUGAAGAACUCUGGUUCAGUGACAGGGUGUUAAAGGAGUCGAGGAUAGAGGAAAUAGCUCAAGUAGUACCAAAUAGCUCAGGUUGUUUUUUUUUUUUUCUUUUUAAUAGGAUGAUUGGGCCAGAGACAGUGGGCAGAAUGACUUCAGGCAACCCCAAACACCAGAUAUGGCAUAAGGAAACAGUUCAAGGAAAAGGUCAAUCCUUGGACCUAGUAUUUGUGAUGCAAUAUCUUAAAUUAAAAGGAAGAGCUGCUUUGGAGAAGGGUUUUAAAAGAUUGUAUUUCAUAGAAAGAAGAAAGAUUUGAGGAGAAACUUCCAAUUAUAUAAGAUGGGCAUUAUAACUUUUAAAGACAUCUGUUGCCUGCAUGGGUCAUAGAGAUUGAUACCAGUAUCAGCCUGUGGCUGACUAGGCCAGUUUAAGUGGUUUCCUGUUCGAAGAGAGAUGCUGCCAUUCUCUCACUUUGGCAGGUAUUCACCUGCAAUGAGUCCAGUACCUGGAGGAGCAAGAAAAAAACAAGCAUCCAGGGGGACAAUAGUAUAGCCUUCUGAGUUAAGAUAGCAACUGAAAAGAUCAUGGGAUUGGCUGCACUGGGCUGGGCUUGUUUGUUUUUUCAAAAUAAAAAAGUUUUCUUUUUGAUGACAAAAGUAAGAGAUGAUCAUUCUUUAAAAAUAAAGUGAAAAGUAUAAAAGAGUAAUGUGCUUCCUUUUACUCUAAAAAAAGUGUAUAUAACACAGUUUAAAAAUAAAAUUGACAUUGUAUUUUCUGACUUUUCUCAUUUAAAAAUAAGCAUUCUUCCAUGUCAUUAACAUUAUUUAAAAAUACAAUAUUGUGUCACAUUUCAUAUGGAUCUAACAAAAUUUAUUUAGAUCGUCUCAUGAUGCAGAUAUUUUGGAUG